AUGAGCUCCCGUGGUGGACAGACUCUCGAGGAAGACACCUCUCAUCCUGCUGGUCUUCUUGGUUUCACGUCGUUCUCCACUUGGGACGGAGGAAGACGUGGCCUGCCGCUAAAUAUCUUAACAACUAACUGCGGGGAGAAAAGAUUCCUGAUAGCUUUUGCCAGUACCUGUGGUGUAAAUAUCCCCGCGGUGGCGGCGAUCAAGUUGCCCAAGGAGCAUCACUGGACCCCGAAUGGGAGGAGAGACAGGCCGUUCUGCCGCCUGCACGCUGGGAGAACCUGCUCCGGCGACCCCUGGAGGCGACUCAGAUCCCCAGGUCCAGACUUUGCUUCAGGAAGCAGUCACUGUGUGCGAAGAGGCUGUGCAGAGAGUCGUGCAGGGACCCACGUUCAGCACGCCACUCCCAAGCCUGCUGCUCUCCCGCUGAGUAAGAGCUUAAGGACGGGUGAUGCCGUGUGUCCAGGUGUGUUGGCCGGUGACGGUCCGCUUGACGGAAGCACCUCCAUUUGCCUGAGUAUCUGGUGUCUGGUCUGCCUCCAGAGCUGCUCUGCCCAGGUGGGUGAUGGUGAAGCCAGGUCCUGGCCCCUCCCUUAUGUCUGUUUCCGUCGUCGUCGUCGUCGUUAUUAUUAUUAUUGUCAUUAUCCUCACAGCAACCCUGUGAAGUAG
rnacentral:lncRNA from 1 species